rnacentral:sRNA from 17 species
GUUUUCCCAGAUGCCUUUCAAGAUUAUUUUGAGAGGAAUUGCCCGUACUAAUCGCUAAUAGCGAGGUAGAGGUAGGUUAUUGCAGUGAUGCAAGAGUUGUAAAGUUAGACCUGGGGACUUAAUUAAUAUUGUGUGUUAAUUUAACCUACUA